rnacentral:rRNA from 1 species
UGGGGAAUAUUGCACAAUGGGCGAAAGCCUGAUGCAGCGACGCCGCGUGAGGGAUGAAGGCCUUCGGGUUGUAAACCUCUUUCGACACGGAAGAAGCUUUCGGGUGACGGUACGUGUAGAAGAAGCGCCGGCUAACUACGUGCCAGCAGCCGCGGUAAUACGUAGGGCGCAAGCGUUGUCCGGAAUUAUUGGGCGUAAAGAGCUCGUAGGCGGUCUGUCACGUCUGGUGUGAAAACCUGAGGCUCAACCUUGGGCUGGCAUCGGGUACGGGCAGGCUAGAGUACGGUAGGGGAGACUGGAAUUCCUGGUGUAGCGGUGGAAUGCGCAGAUAUCAGGAGGAACACCGAUGGCGAAGGCAGGUCUCUGGGCCGUUACUGACGCUGAGGAGCGAAAGCAUGGGGAGCGAACAGG